CGCAGCGUGGUGUAGUGGUUUGAGCUUUGGACUAUGACUUUGGAGACCAAGGUUCGAAUCCCAGCUCAGCUA
rnacentral:tRNA from 1 species